rnacentral:rRNA from 1 species
UCGAUGCAACGCGAAGAACCUUACCUGGCCUUGACAUACUAAGAACUUUCCAGAGAUGGAUUGGUGCCUUCGGGAACUUAGAUACAGGUGCUGCAUGGCUGUCGUCAGCUCGUGUCGUGAGAUGUUGGGUUAAGUCCCGCAACGAGCGCAACCCUUUUCCUUAUUUGCCAUCGGGUAAUGCCGGGAACUUUAAGGAUACUGCCAGUGACAAACUGGAGGAAGGCGGGGACGACGUCAAGUCAUCAUGGCCCUUACGGCCAGGGCUACACACGUGCUACAAUGGUCGGUACAAAGGGUUGCUACCUCGCGAGAGGAUGCUAAUCUCAAAAAGCCGAUCGUAGUCCGGAUCGCAGUCUGCAACUCGACUGCGUGAAGUCGGAAUCGCUAGUAAUCGCGGAUCAGAAUGCCGCGGUGAAUACGUUCCCGGGCCUUGUACACACCGCCCGUCACACCAUGGGAGUUUGUUGCACCAGAAGUAGGUAGUCUAACCGCAAGGAGGACGCUUACCNCGGUGUGGCCGAUGAACUGGGGUGAAGUCG